rnacentral:lncRNA from 1 species
UGUGUUAGGGAGGAACAAGAAAACAUGUAGGGGUUAUGGGGAAGAUUCUAGGGACCUUUGUACGAAGAAUCUUUAGAUCUGAGGGUUAUUUUGCAAGUCGACCUCGGUUUUGAUUUAUUUCCUAGAUUUAAAUAGCUGCAAACUUGGAAAAUGCAUAGAAAUGUGUAGAAAAAUGAUAAAAAUGUGAAUCUUGUUUUGUUGAGUUCCUGAUGACAUCUAGUUUAUUUCAGAAUUGUUUUUGUGUAUGUUACUAUCUUGUAUCUAGUGCUAUGAUUUAUUUUAUCUAAAAGACAUUAAAUGCUUU